AAAGUCGGAUGCUCAACCAACUGAGCCACCCAGGUGCCCCUCUUGGCUAAAGCUUCUUCUGCAGCUGCCACUGAGGUGGAGGACGCAUUACUGUCCCAGCUAAAGCAAACAGCAGCGGUCGCUUCGGUUUCUAAUCGUGACCACCUCCGACUGACAGCCGGGCCGAGACUUCUGCUGAGAAAGAAAACAAACACGUGAGAGGAAAGAAAGAAGCAGAACUUUGAGUCGGGCUUAUCUUCAGGACACAUUCAAUUGAGGGGAGAAGCUCCCUCCUUUUUUUUUUUUUUUUUAAGCAAAGAAAGGUCAACUGUUAAUCAUCUUGGGAAAUGUGAAAGCCAAUGUGGUAAAACUAUGGCACGUUUUAAUGGGCAAAAAAAAUAGCUGACAUAGACUCUACAGGCCA